rfam:Schistosoma curassoni strain Dakar, Senegal genome assembly, scaffold: SCTD_scaffold0002644
AUUCAGCUGACGAAUCCCAAAUAGGACGAAACGCGCGUCCUGGAU